rnacentral:rRNA from 1 species
AUGUUUCAGGCAAUUCAAGGAUAUGAUUGUGAACUUAAUAGUCUUGGUAGGCUACAAAGAGAACUGAAGGAUAUCCUGAGUGGCAAAAGGUUUUUCUUGGUACUAGAUGAUGUCUGGUGCAACAAGCAUGUUGGUGAGCAGAAUCUGCCACAAUUACUUUGUCCAUUCAAGAUUGGAAAGAGAGGAAGCAAGAUCCUAGCGACAAGUCGAAAUGUAGAUGCCUUCUCGGAUCUUGGUCCUGAUGUGAGAUGUGCUAAUUUUCCAAUUAGUGACUUGGAUGAUAGUAUGUUCCUUGAGCUAUUCAUGUAUUAUGCACUUGGAGAUGGGAAUGCAAACAAUGGAGCUGGGAGCACACUCUGGAAUAUUGGGCUUCGAGCUCUGUUGUUGUUUAUCCAACAACCUCUAGCAGCCAGUACAGUGGGAGGACAACUACGUAAAAGAAAAAAUGUUGAGUUUUGGAGAAGAGCUAGAGAUCAGGACUUAUUGAACGAGACGAUGGGAGCUCUAUCAUGGAGCUACCAGCAUCUUAAUGAGCAGAUUAGACAAUGCUUUGCUUACUGUAGUAUGUUCCCCAGAAGACAUCAUUUCAGACGUAAUUUGUUACUUAAGUUGUGGGUGGCAGAAGGGUUUAUAAGAAGUAUUAAUGCUGGGAAGGAAAUGGAAGAUGUUGGUCAGGAUUACUUUGAUGAACUUGUGUCAAUCUCAUUUCUGCAAUUUGGGGGAAAGGAGUCCUGCGGUGAGGACUACUAUUUAAUGCAUGAUCUGGUGUAUGAUUUAGGAGAGAGGAUCGCUGGACACGAUUGCUUUAGAAUUGAGGAUGGAUGGACAGGAGAAAUUCCUCCAGGUGUUCGCCAUCUUUUCAUUGAUACUUAUAACGGAGAGAAGCUUGCCAUGAAGACUUUUCAACUGGAAAAUUUACGCACUCUCAUCAUUAAAGUUAUCAAAUUAUGGACACCACGUGAUGAAGAAGUUUUCAAGAAUAUAAUCAUGAGGCUGCAAAAAUUGCGGGUACUGGACGUGACUUUUGGUUUGACUUGGCAUGUCAAUUUCUUAGAACCUAUUGGUGUCAAGCAUAUACGUCACCUUACUUACAGGAUCGGCAAAUCGCACGGUCUAAUUUUACCAAGGACCUUUAAAAAAACUUCACCACAUUCAGACACUUGA